UACGUAGGGGGCGAGCGUUGUCCGGAUUCAUUGGGCGUAAAGAGCUCGUAGGCGGCUUGGCAAGUCGGGUGUGAAAACUUCAGGCUCAACCUGGAGAUGCCACUCGAUACUGCUAUGGCUAGAGUCCGGUAGGGGACCACGGAAUUCCUGGUGUAGCGGUGAAAUGCGCAGAUAUCAGGAGGAACACCGGUGGCGAAGGCGGCUCACUGGCCCGGUACUGACGCUGAGGCGCGAAAGCGUGGGGAGCAAACAGG
rnacentral:rRNA from 1 species